rnacentral:rRNA from 1 species
UACAGAGGUCUCAAGCGUUGUUCGGAUUCAUUGGGCGUAAAGGGUGCGUAGGUGGCGCGCUAAGUCAGGUGUGAAAUUUCGGAGCUUAACUCCGAAACUGCAUUUGAUACUGGCGUGCUUGAGGACUGGAGAGGAGACUGGAAUUCAUGGUGUAGCAGUGAAAUGCGUAGAGAUCAUGAGGAAUACCGGUGGCGAAAGCGACUCUCUGGACGGCAACUGACGCUGAGGCACGAAAGCGUGGGGAGCAAACAGG